rnacentral:misc_RNA from 1 species
UUUCCGUAGGUGAACCUGCGGAAGGAUCAUUAACGAGUUAGGGUCUUCCAGGCCCGACCCCCCAACCCUAUGUUUAUUGAACCUCUGUUGCUUCGGCGGACCCGCCUCACGGCCGCCGGAGGACCGCUGCAAGGCGUCCUCUGGCCAGCGUCCGCCGAUGGCCAACCACUUAAACUCUGAAUGAAUCGUGUCAUAUGUCUAAGUCUAUGAUUAAAUUAAAGCAAAACUUUCAACAACGGAUCUCUUGGUUCUG